CAAUUGUCCAUUUCUGCACUCUUAUCUUUUAUUGUAAAUUUACUGAAAAUGGAAAAAUAUCAAUAUGCCCCCUUACUUUUUGAUAUAUAUGUUAACGGUCCCCCACUCCCCCUUCUGCCUGCAUUCAAUUAUUUCCGGCAUGCAUAAUGAUAAGCAGAGCUCCACAAUUCCAGCUUAUCAAGCAACAGUAAUUUGGAGACUGCAAGAGCAAAAGAUUGAAAUCGCAUCCUUUACUUGUGCAGACGUUGAUGAAAGGGUUGCAUGAAAUCCAUGGUUUAAAUUCUGCAGCUAUGCCAGUAAAGAUGGAAAUAUACCUAAAUGAGCAUCUGGAACUUAAGGAGCAACGACUGUGAUCGAACUUUUUAUCGAUCUAGUUAGUUUUAAGUCUCAUGAUGCUUUCGUUUCUUACUUCUGCAAAUGUGAAUACUGAAAAACAGUAGUCUUACAUGUAGUAAUGCCUUGAAAGAUGCUGUUUUGUGCAAGAUUCAAUGCACAUUCCAUCAUGUUUUCAUAUUUUUUAAAGAAUGUUUGAUUUGCUGCCA